GUCUUUUUAGGGCCACACCUGAGGCAUAUGGAGGUUCCCAGGCUAGGAGUCGAAUUGGAGCUGUAGUCGCCAGCCUACACCACAGCCGUAGCAAUUCGGGAUGUGAGUCAUGUCUGCAACCUACACCACAGCCCACAGCAACACCAGACCUUUAACCCACUGAGAGAGACCAGGGAUCGAACCUGCAUCCUCAUGGAUACUAGUCAGAUUUAUUUCCACUGAGCCAUGACGGGAACUCCCAGCUUGGAUGUCUUGACGCUAGAAUUCGCCUUUGUUGGGUGAUUCAUGUGCGUCAAUGAGAAAACUACACAACCACACCGCCCACCAUGUGUAAACUCAGGCGGCAACACGAUGCCCUUCGAGGUCAGUGUCACGAGUCUGCUCUCUGCGCUUGGCAUUGUUCCUUGGCUACAGACCAUAUUUCUGAUCUUCAUCAACCAGGCACGAAGUUAGGGGUAGUCCAGCAGCAUAAACUGACCACCACAGUGGGAAAAAUCUAGCUUAGUUUCCUUCUGCUGAUGGGUCAGUGUUACAUCUAGUUUUGCUUUCAUGCAGAUGCAGACAGUAACUAGCAAAAUGGGUGGCUUAUAAACAACAAAAUCUAUUCCUUACCAUUUUGGACUGGAAUCCAAGCUUUGGGGUCUGAUAAAUGCCUUCUUCCUGGUUCAUGGACUGCUGUCCUUUGGCUGUGCCCUCACGUGGUGGAAGGGCCCAGAAUUCUCUGCCCUUCUGAACUAAUCGCCUUGUAACGGCCCACCUCCAAAUACCGUUACCCUGGGGAUUAGGUUUCAACAUAGAAAUCUGGGGGAGAUGAUACAAACUUUGAGUCUAUAGCAGGUCCCAACCUCCCAUUCCCAGGUCCAAUCAAUGAAUGGCACCACCAUCCAACCAGUUAUUCCAACCCCAACUUCUCUUCUACUUCUUUCUCCCUUCCCUUUUACCUUCCAUAUCCAAGUGCAUCAGCAAGUUCAUCGGUGGCUCUGCCAUACAAUGUCCAUAUCUCCCCCUAAAACAGGUUACCUCUCACCCAGGUUUUUCCAGGGGCCCCUUAUUAGUCUCUCUGCUUCAGAUCUUGCACCUGUCCAGUCAGUCCUUUCUCCACAGGCAGGCAGAAAGAGCUUUGAAAUAAAUCAGAUCGAGUGUGCUACAUCACAUGCCUUAUCCUAAAUUGCAUAUUGUUUGCUGACGCUUGUGAGCCAUUUGGAGGACUUUUUAAAAAAAAUUCAUGCUUGAAAAAAUGGCAUGACUAUAAAGAAAAAUAAAUAAGUAUAAUACACCAAAAUAAAUCAUGAGUUGUCAACUAUACCUCAAUAAAGCUGAAUAAAAUAAAAUAAAACAAAAUAGGAAUUCCUGUCGUGGCACAGCAAAUCGGACUAGGAACCCUGAGGUUGUGUGUUUGAUCCCUGGCCUUGCCCAGUGGGUUAAGGAUCCGGCACUGCCGUGAGCUGUGAUGUAGGUCACAGACAUGGCUUGGAUCUGGCAUUGCUGUGGCUGUGGUGUAGACCGGCAGCUACAGCUUCGAAUGGACCCCUAGCCAGGGAACCUCCAUAUGCCGUGGGUGUGGCCCUCUGAAGACAAAAAGACAAAAAAUAAAUUAAAAAUAAAUAAAUAAAUAAUAAAAAUAAAACAAAAUAAAAUAGAUCUUAUCUCUCCUGUGUAAAACCAGUCUAGUGUUUGCCACUGUGUAUAGGCUACAAGCCAAACUGUUGAGUGCCACAGCCAAGGAGGGCACCCUGGGAUCCAGUCUCAGUUCUCCACUGUCCUCUAAACUUACCAGCUUUCCUUGAGGGUUUCACUGAAGCUCUCUCCUUGUUUGGGGCUUUGGAACCUCUGAUGUCUCUGCGACACCCUCUCCCUUUCCCCAUUCUUGCCAGCUAAUUCCUCCAACAUCCCUUAUGUCUCUGCUUCAAUGUCACCACCUCAGAGAAGGUUCCUGACCUGCCCAAACCUAAAUGAAGGACCUUCCCUGCACAUCGAUAAACCUUCUUUUUCCUU
rnacentral:lncRNA from 1 species